AGACAUAUCCUGAAUCAAGAUGCCAGCCCCCUCCUGCACCCCACGCUCCAGAGGCUGGUCUGCUGAAUGAUGGCUGUAUCUGCCCCGAGGACACUGUGAGCCCCACUCCCAGGGUGAGAGGAGAAUGAUGGCAAAAGAAUUUGGUAUAUCCUUGCUCCCACCUUCCUGUUCUUGAAAGCACAGGACAUCUGUGGGAGGAUUAUCUCUGGAGGCCUUGAUGGAGAGUACCAACCAGUCUUCAUGUGAAGACACUCUGCGUUCCUCAGCACUUACCCGUGAUCUGCAUCCUUGACUAAUCAUCUCCUUGCGGAGAUGCCAGUGGAAGUGAUUGAGACAAAGGGGCGUAGCAUCAUCUUGAUGCUGAAGAGCUUUCAGAGGAGGCAGGAGGUGGGACUGCUGUUACACCUUGUUCCCAGCUGUUUUCUGCUCCCAAGGCUGUGCCACCCAUCUCGUUGCUGUGGCUUUCUCUUGUGGGGCCUGGAGACAGAUGCAGAAGCCAGGUGACACGGAUGCUUUGCUGCCAGCGCGGGGCCUGAGGCUGUAUCCUGGUGGAGCCUGGGCAGGGGCUGAUACGCUCAGGAGAGAUGGGAUGGGACAGGGUCUGCCCUAAUGCUGAAGGCCCAGCUCAAACCUCUGGGGGCGGGAGACCCUGUGCUGAUAGCCAGAAGUCAGAGCACGUUGCUUCCUUCUGCUGUGGUGUCUCUGCCAUCUGCAAAUCCCUCCAGCAGCGGCACCCUGCCUCUGCCUUGUUCCCACUUUGUUUAGGCUAAAGCCAGUGGGUCUGUCUUCAAAGCAAAGUGCGGCUUUCCCUGUGGAAAAAUCUCACUCCUGACUUUUGCUCUGUCCCCACAUCAAGCCAGCUUUCAGUGCACUGCCUGUAAGCAACUGUUAUUUUUUGUGUUUGUCCUGCAGUGAGCCAUAGCGUUCUGUGUCACCAUACCUCUAGACAAGGCUGUGAAAGCAGUUGAGGACUUUUCCAACAACUGAUGCCUGCUGCUGCUGCUCACAGCCAGCACAAAGCCUUCCCACUGCCAGGCCUGCCUGCUCUGGGCUGCUGUGUUUAUUUCAGGGGUUAGAGGGGAAGGGGGGGAACUGUAUCUGGGUAUUUUAAUUAGAUAAUAAUAAUGUAAACAAGUGGCACUAUGGCCACUUCCUAAACAGACACAUCUGUUUGUAGAGUCCUGGCCCUAUUGGAGAGCACUAGGUAGGACUCAUCAGGCCAAGUCGUCGCUGCAGCUGUGCUGGGCAGCCCUGGAGCCCACUGGCUCCUCACAGGGGUGCUGGAGCACACUGGGGGCAUCGCUCCCCUCCCACUGCCCAUGCACUGCUGGAUGUGGCACAGCACUGCUACAUACAAAACCCUACUGAAGUUAUUUGCCUCAGUCUCACACAUCUGAGUCUUGUAACUUUGCUGCUGGUUCAUUUUCAGGAGGGACAGGAUAUAUUAUGGAGCUAAAUUCUCACGGGCAAAUAAUAAGUCCUAGCACCUGCUGGCUGGAACCCACAGGCUGUGACCUUCUGUCUCCUCCAAUGUUUGUGUUUUCCUCUGCGGGAAAGAGCAACAUGGUAAAGAAUUCCUAUUAUUUCAAAUAUUUCACCAUGGUGUUAUCUAGCCUAGUCUAAACAAUGGUCCCGAUUGCUCUUGAGAGUUGUACUCUGCAGGAGAAAACGGUAACAAAUGUUAUUCCCAGUGUGUUCCCCCCCACCACGGGGACACAGAUAUUUGUGACAUGGAAUGGCAGUGUGCUACUGGAAGCAUCAAUCCAGAUAUGUUAGCUGAAAAAGAGGAAAAAAUUGCCUCCCUUGCCAAAUUCCAAACUGAUCCACCCAGAAGAAGAUCCAUGCUGUGAUGCUUCUGUCCUGGAUGUGCCAUUUGUUGAUGCAGGAAGUGGAUCACAUCCCAGGCUCUGGGAAUGUGCAGGAUGUGUCACUUGCCCCAUUGCCUUACAAACAAUAAAUCUCUAAAACCUCACUAAAAGCUGUAAUACUGCAAAAGCUGCAGCCAUGGCAAUUAUUUGCCUUCAUGUUCACUGACCCACUGAAGGAACCAGGCUGUGAACACCCUGACUCUAGUGGGAAAUGCCUGGACAGCCAGACCUGACCCAAAUGUCCAAACACAGCCAAACUUCAGCCUGAAUACACAUAACACAGUUAAUCCCGACUUAAUUUAUGGCAGCCUGAACCUGAAUGUGAACUCACCCACUGUGUUACCAGAGAUCCGAACCUGGAUUUGGCUCCCAAAUAGCUUGGGUCUAGGUCUUGAAAUUACCCAGUUGUUGGCUGCAGUCUGCUUUGGAGCUGGAGAUUUAUUUCUCCAGGAGGCAGGAAAACACAUUGUGUUGCCAAACUACUUCCAGUCUUUUCCAGAAUUACAAGUCAGGGGAUGGUGGGUAAGUCUUGUGAUUUUCAUCCUACAAUCUAAACCAGAUGGACUACUCUCGCAGCAUAAAUAUUUAAGCAAAGAAAAGGAAAAAAAAAAAAAAAAAAAAACUGGCAGAAAAAGUUCAGUUUCUUAAUUAAUUGCAUUAUUAUGACUUGCACUAUUUAACAGGAUGCGCAUAAAGCUGGUCUACAAGAUAGUUUGAUCACCUUCUUUGAUUCAUCUCAAUAAAAUCUGGAGUUUUUGUUUUCUCGGGGAUAAUGAAGUAACUGUAGAAUAAUAAAGUGGCUCUGCUUAUUGGAAACAGAAAGCUCUCAGCUUUCGGAAGAAAAGAUCCUCUCGGUGAAGCUCGUGCUGUAUUAAUCCAAAAAUACAAAUAAGUGGAGGUGAUCUGGAAAGCCUGUGUUACUGACAUCAGCCCAGCAUUUCUGCCACUGAAGAUCCUCUUCUCCGGCCUCAACUCAAAAAAUCUUUGUGGCAGAUUUGGCAUUGCCUGUAAUAAUUUAUGAACGUGAUGUGUUGACAUGUUUACUGUGUGCAUACAUUGAGCUACUUCAAUCGCUGCCUUGUCAGGAAGUGUACCCAGGAGAGAACAGAUGAAUCCAGGCACGCGGUUUGGAGGAAACACUGGGGAGCUGAAGCAAGCGCCCUUUGCUGUGACAUUUUGGCUGGGCCCCUGCUGGGCUCACAGGAGAGAUUUCCCUGGGAGAACAUGGGUGCCUGUGAAGGAAGGCACAGAAGGCCCUGGGGGAUUCACAGUGAACCAUUUAAAUGGAGGCUUUGGAGAGCGAGAACCCGAAAGGGGCUGAAAGCGCUCAGAUCUGCAGGUACCUAAUUCAGUACAUGUUGGCGAUAAAGGGGAUGUGGAACAUUUGUUUAACCGCCGUGCUUUAUUUCAGUGGUGAAAUGGCUCUUCUGUUUUAUAAACAUGGUUUAGGUUGCACAAGAGAGCUGGAUGCCUCUGUUCCCAGGUCCAUGUGGGAAUCAUGGUGAUUGUGCUGGGUAGGCUGGCUGGAGUUUGGCAAAGCUACCUCAGCCUGCCUGCAGGAAGGUGAGAGCUUGAGGCCUGGCAGCCUUCCCCAGACGGGAAGGCAGAAAGGCCACUGAUAGCUGAGAUCCAGCAGUAACCAUAACAAUACCAUCAUCUUUCUUAAAAGUCCCAGCACGUAAUUCUACUAAUGACUUUUAUUAAACAUUUAAGCCUUAGCCUUCAAGUGAUUCAUAUUUGUUACAAAACACCAUCCCAUUAACACAAAGUACAAGCCGAAACAAAGUUAAUGAGCCCUAAUGCUUGCCGGAUAAUACGAAGUUUGAGUGAUACUAACAAAAAUAAAAUUAGGAAGAAAUCUA
ensembl:lncRNA